GACAGUCGGAUGGUCGCGGGCGCUUUUAUGCGUCUGAGGAAAGUCCGGGCUUCACGGGAACACGAUACCGGAUAACGUCCGGCGGGGGUGACCCCAGGGAAAGUGCAGCAGAAAGCAAACCGCCGACCUUUUUUAAAAGGGGUAAGGGUGAAAGGGUGCGGUAAGAGCGCACCGCUUUUCCGGUAACGGAAAAGGCACGGAAAACCCUAUCGGAAGCAAGACCAAGUCAGGCGUACGCAACCGCGUAUUCAAGGGCGUUCCCGUCCUUCGCCAGAGGUAGGUCGCUGGAGGCGUUCGGCAACGGACGUCGUAGAAGAAUGGCCAUCGAUUACAGAACCCGGCUUACAGACUGUCUGG
rnacentral:RNase_P_RNA from 1 species